GACGAACGCUGGCGGCGUGCUUAACACAUGCAAGUGGAGCGACGAACCAGGGCUUGCCCUGGGGCAGAGCCGCGAACGGGUGAGUAACACGUGGGUAACCUGCCCUGAUGACCGGGACAACCCGAGGAAACUCGAGCUAAUACCGGAUGAAUUCACAUGACAUAAGUCGUGUGAGAAAAGGUAGCUUCGGCUUCCGCAUUGGGAUGGGCCCGCGGCCCAUUAGCUUGUUGGUGAGGUAACGGCUCACCAAGGCGACGAUGGGUAGCUGGUCUGAGAGGACGAUCCGCCACACUGGGACUGAGACACGGCCCAGACGCCUACGGGAGGCAGCAGUGGGGAAUCUUGCGCAAUGCGCGAAAGCGUGACGCAGCAACGCCGCGUGCGGGAAGACGGCCCUCGGGUUGUAAACCGCUUUCAGUUGGGACGAAGCCUGUCUGGUGAAUAGCCAGUGCAGGUGACGGUACCUUCAGAAGAAGCUCCGGCUAACUACGUGCCAGCCGCCGCGGUAAAAC
rnacentral:rRNA from 1 species